rnacentral:rRNA from 1 species
UUGGAGGGCAAGUCUGGUGCCAGCAGCCGCGGUAAUUCCAGCUCCAAUAGCGUAUAUUAAAGUUGUUGCAGUUAAAAAGCUCGUAGUUGAAUUUCGGGAUCAAUAUGUCGGUCGUGCUUCGGUACGUACUGGCGUAAUUGGUUUCUCCCUUCUGAAGAACCGCGGUGUCAUUAAUUUGGUGUCGUGGGGAAUCAGGACUGUUACUUUGAAAAAAUUAGAGUGUUUAAAGCAGGCUCGCGCUUGAAUACAUUAGCAUGGAAUAAUGAAAUAGGACGUCUGAUUCUAUUUUGUUGGUUUCUAGGAUCGACGUAAUGAUUAAUAGGGAUAGUUGGGGCAUUAGUAUUCAAUUGUCAGAGGUGAAAUUCUUGGAUUUAUUGAAGACUAACUACUGCGAAAGCAUUUGCCGAGGAUGUUUUCAUUAAUCAAGAACGAAAGUUAGGGGAUCGAAGACGAUCAGAUACCGUCGUAGUCUUAACCAUAAACUAUGCCGACUAGGGAUCGGAUGAUGUUGAUUUUUUAAUGACUCAUUCGGCACCUUACGGGAAAC